rnacentral:rRNA from 1 species
GAGUCUAGCAUGUGCGCGAGUCGUUGGGUAAACGGUGCGCAGGGGGGCGACCCUCUCGCACGACUGUACUAAACCUUUUUGAGGCGCAAUGAAAGUAAAAGUCCGCCUCGCGCGGACCGAGGGAGGAUGGGCCGGCCGACGUGUCGGCCCCGCACUCCCGGGGCGUCUCCGUUCCGCUCGUACGGCUUAGAUCGUUCGAGCGUGGGGGCGCACCCAGAGCGUACACGCUGGGACCCGAAAGAUGGUGAACUAUGCCUGGUCAGGACGAAGUCAGGGGAAACCCUGAUGGAGGUCCGUAGCGAUUCUGACGUGCAAAUCGAUCGUCGGAACUGGGUAUAGGGGCGAAAGACUAAUCGAACCAUCUAGUAGCUGGUUCCCUCCGAAGUUUCCCUCAGGAUAGCUGGCGCUCGAGCAUUUGAGCGAGUCUCAUCUGGUAAAGCGAAUGAUUAGAGGCAUUGGGGUCGAAACGGCCUCAACCUAUUCUCAAACUUUAAAUGGGUGAGAUCUCCGGCUUGCUUAAAUAGUGAAGCCGCGAGAUGUACGAUCUCUCUCUCACUCGCUCUCUCUCUCUCUCUCUCUGCCUCCGUAUAGCGAUAUACGGACGGGGGGGGUUAGGGUCAGGGUUAGGUGGCGAAGAUCUUAAAGGAUCAGAGUGCCAAGUGGGCCACUUUUGGUAAGCAGAACUGGCGCUGUGGGAUGAACCAAACGCAGAGUUAAAGCGCCAAAAUCGAAGCUUAUGGGAUACCAUGAAAGGCGUUGGUAACUUAAGACAGCAGGACGGGUGGCCAUGGAAGUCGGA